rnacentral:rRNA from 1 species
GACGAACGCUGGCGGCGUGCUUAACACAUGCAAGUCGAACGGUGAAGCGCCUUCCUUUUUGGUGGGUGUGGAUGAGUGGCGAACGGGUGAGUAACACGUGAGUAACCUGCCCCCUUCUUCUGGAUAACCGCAUGAAAGUGUGGCUAAUACGGGAUAUUCUGGGUCUGUCGCAUGAUGGGUCUGGGAAAGAUAUUGUUUCGGUGGGGGAUGGGCUCGCGGCCUAUCAGCUUGUUGGUGGGGUGAUGGCCUACCAAGGCGGUGACGGGUAGCCGGCCUGAGAGGGUGGACGGCCACAAGGGGACUGAGACACGGCCCAGACUCGUACGGGAGGCAGCAGUGGGGAAUAUUGCACAAUGGGAGCAAGCCUGAUGCAGCGACGCCGCGUGAGGGAUGGAGGCCUUCGGGUUGUGAACCUCUUUCGCCAGUGAAGCAGGCCUGCCUCGUUUGUGGGUGGGUUGACGGUAGCUGGAUAAGAAGCGCCGGCUAACUACGUG